GUCUCUGUCGAUUAGUGGUUAAAUCGCCACGUUGUGGUUUUCUAAAUCUCGUCUUGCCCGUGGCGCCGUGUGUUCGAUUCACACCAGAGACA